AACACGGUCAUGGGCUGAAUGACCCAAGUAACACACUUGGCUCACUGCUCAGCUCGUCAAAGAGAUGGGCACUCCUGGGCUUCUUCUUCAUGGACUCGUAAGUGGUAACCAUUAGGAUUCUCGGACAAUUUCAGAGCACUUUCCUGGUGGGGCCAUUGGCUUUACGUGACCCUCUCACCCCCCAUUAGCCUUCUUGAUGAAGCUGGGAGACCUCGAUCACUGUGCUCUUUCUAUAUAUCGUCCUCUUUUCGGUUGGAACUAUCAUCUUUUUCCGCUCUGUUCUUCUAAAAUCUCGUAGCUUCCUUUUGUUCUUGAGCUUGGCUAAAGACUGGAGUCUGGAGAGCUGGUAUUUUGCUUUAGCUGCCAAUAUUGAGUUAUUAACUCUUGCAUUAAGAUCACACUACAGAAAUGUCUUUAGGCGUCAUUUGAAUAUCUGUGAAUUUCACAUGAUGAGUUAUUUGAAUUAAAUAUCAUGUUACACAUCUAUCCAAAUGAAGUUGAGUUUUUCAUAAGAGAAUUACGAAAAUUGCAAAACUUUAUUUGUCUGGGAAUUCUGUUUUAUGAACAUUCAAUUGAUCAAUUCUAGCUUUGUUUGAUUUGACGAUGUAUCUUUAUUAUCUGGGUUAUGAUUGUUCAUGGUUUAUGUUUUCUUGCAAUCUUUUUUCCUUUUCCUUUCAUUGUGGAAGUUAUGAAAGUCAGGCGUUCAUGAUACUGCUGUUUCCACCUUAGUUUUAGUAAAUAACCUUUUCUGUUGAUGGAAUAUGAUUGGAUUUGUGGAUAUGGUCUUUUGAAUAUGGUUCCAAUAGGAUUUUAUUUUGGGGAAAUGUCUAAAAAAAUCCCGAACUUUGCACUUUUUAACAAUUGUACCCUUAACAUUUUUCUUUGAUAAAAAUACCUUAUACUAAUGACUUUUUUAUAAUUGUCUAACAAAUAAAAACCCUAAAUAGAGUUGUCUCACCCAUCUGCAUUUCUAAUACUUGCACUACACUUUACUUCUUUUGUCUCUAUAUCUGUUUUUUAAGUUUAAAUAUUACUCUAAUUAGAGUUUUUUUUUUUUUUUUUGAAUUUGGGGGUUUUUAUACUAAAAUUGGAUUUCUCCGUAAAUUUUUAACAGGAAUAUUAACGGAACAAAUUAUUUGUAUAGGUAUUUUUAUCAAAAAAAAAAAAAGUUAAUGGUACAAUUGUAAAAAGUUCAAAGUUUGGCAUUAUCCCUUUUAUUUUACCAUCUAGGGGCAGGUGGCAUUGCCAUUCCAAAUCCAAAGUGUAGUAUUUGGGAGAUGGUGUUCUUACACCACUGUUUAUGUGUCUCAACAUUGUGAAGAUUUGGAAAAAUCAUAUUGAAUUGGCAGAGAGCAAUCACAAAAAAAAAAGCAUGCUCUAAACAAAUUGUCAAGUGUCCACAUAUAAGGCAAAUUGUCAUAUAUUAAGACCAUAAUGAAUUCAACUUAUUCAUCAUUAUGGAUAAUAUUGUUACGUAUAGGACGUCUAGGUGGAGGAAGAAAAGAGUGAUGGAAGAUACUGCAGAAGUUGACUCUUAGACUCUUAUUAAGAAGCAGAAGAUUGAUAAGGUUAUGGAGGGAAAAAUAAGUCGGUCAGUGAGUUGUUAGAUUUGGAGGGAAAAGUUAGAGAAUCUAUUGUAAUUCAGUUGUGUGUGUGUGUGUGUGACAGUUAUUGGUGAUUAGAUUGUAUAGAAGGGAAGAGGAAGCACCUGUGUUUUCAAUAACAAUCUGUUACAUUCUCUCUUCUGUUCUUCUC